AUUACUCACGUAGCUCUGCGGCGAGCUUCCAUUCUCUGUGCAGACAAGAACGUGCCUGUAUCACUCUGGCGGUGCCUCGCUUUCCCUCUGCUGUUGCCAGCGUGGUUCUGCGUGAGAGACAGAGGAGAAAAACAGAGUGACGUGGAGAGAAAAAAAGAUGGAGAAACAGUUAAAAAGUUGUGCUGCACUCUCUCAGGUGGCUUCAGCCCACAGCUCUUCACAAGUUAUGACGCUCUUCGACUCAUUACCACUGCCAAAUGAAGAUCAUUUAAUUACAUUAUUAUGCAGUUUGACUCAUUCAGGCCGAUCUGUGGACUGGUUGCAUAUAACUCAUUGAUAGUCGUAUGGAGGCCUCCUGUCAAGCUGCUGUCACGGCAGGGGAGCAGCCAAUCUAUCACACCAUCGAGACACAUUCUUCUCACCUGCUCUGCGCCGGCACCGUGCCGUACCGGCCCUUUAAUGAACAGCCAACAUGAUCCCAGCUGACAAGCAGGAAAUGGAUGCAAUAAAGAUUGUUUCUGCAUGCUCUUUGCAUUCCUGAUAAAUCACCUUACUGUUCGACAGACACCAGCCAGCGCCGCACACAAAUCUGAUUUCACGCCGAGGGAGAGACACUGAGGGAAGGGGCAUCGGGCCAAGAGGGGUCAGUUCAAUUUAAAUGCAGACUGGCUCAGACACGGAGCCCAUGCAACCGCUGAUUGCAUGUGUGUGUGUGGUGGGAAGCCCUGUGUGAUGGACCCGUGACACACCUCGCACCUCACAUCAUUUCUUUGGACGCAGCGGGCGGCAGCUCGCAUACACCUGCAGCUUGAAGUCCAGGUGAGGGGGUUUAUCAGUCAAGCAGACCUGCUCUGUCCGCCAGAACGCUUUACUCUCUGCAGCUCUGCAGAUGAUACAGUCACACGUCGGCCCUGCAACCUUGGACACUGCACUGUAAUGAAAGAUGAAAGCAGGAGAGGCGCACGAAGGGCGGAGAGAACAGGGAGGGGGGCGUGAGGUGUGGGGAUGUAGUGAGAGAUGAGGAAGAGAUGCAGAUCUCUGGGCGGGUAAUUUGCGAUCUAAUCUUAUGCAGCCCGUGCCUGCUGUAAGUCAGAGUAGGG